rnacentral:rRNA from 1 species
AUUGAACGCUGGCGGCAGGCCUAACACAUGCAAGUCGAACGCGUGGCAGGCGGGUGAGUCAUGUCUGGGAAACUGCCAUAUGGCGGGGGAUAACUACUGGAACCGGUAGCUAAUACCGCAUACCAUCAGCUGAGCCCAGAUGGGAUUAGCUUGUUGGUGGGGUAACGGCUCACCAAGGCAACGAUCCCUAGCUGGUCUGAGAGGAUGACCAGCCACACUGGAACUGAGACACGGUCCAGACUCCUACGGGAGGCAGCAGUGGGGAAUAUUCCACAAUGGGCGCAAGCCUGAUGCAGCCAUGCCGCGUGUAUGAAGAAGGUCUUCGGGUUGUAAAGUACUUUCAGCGGGGAGGCGUUACCCGCAGAAGAAGCACCGGCUAACUACGUGCCAGCCGCCGCGGUAAUUC